GACUCUCGGCAACGGAUAUCUCGGCUCUCGCAUCGAUGAAGAACGUAGCGAAAUGCGAUACUUGGUGUGAAUUGCAGAAUCCCGUGAACCAUCGAGUCUUUGAACGCAAGUUGCGCCCGAAGCCACUAGGCCGAGGGCACGUCUGCCUGGGUGUCACGCAACGUCGCCAACGCCCGAU
rnacentral:rRNA from 3 species